GACUGAGACACUGCCCGGACACCUACGGGUGGCUGCAGCAACGAAUAUUCCGCAAUGGGCGCAAGCCUGACGGAGCGACGCCGCGUGGAGGAUGAAGUCUUUCGGGAUGUAAACUUCAAUAGUUUGUCAGGAAGCAAAGGGACCUAAUACGUCCCGGCGUUGACCAGCGAACGAAAGGGGCGGCUAACUCCGUGCCAGCAGCCGCGGUAAGACGGAGGCCCCUAGCGUUGUUCGGAAUCACUGGGCUUAAAGAGGGUGUAGGCGGAGCAGCAAGUACUUUGUGAAAGCCCCGGGCUCAACCCGGGAAUUGCUUGGUAUACUGUUGCUCUUGAGGCAGGUAGGGGUCACUGGAACCUUAGGUGGAGCGGUGAAAUGCGUAGAUAUCUAAGGGAACGCCUGUGGCGAAAGCGGGUGACUGGGCCUGUCCUGACGCUGAGACCCGAAAGCGUAGGGAGCAAACAGGAUUAGAUACCCUGGUAGUCUACGCCGUAAACGAUGCGCACUAGGUUCGAGAGCUACUGACGGCCCUCGUGCCGAAGCAAAAGUACUAAGUGCGCCGCCUGGGGAGUACGGCCGCAAGGCUAAAACUCAAAGGAAUUGACGGGGGCUCACACAAGCGGUGGAGCAUGUGGAUCAAUUCGAAGCAACGCGAAGAACCUUACCUGGGUUUGACAUGCACGGAUGCCCUUCUGGAAACAGGAGUAAGCUGCCUUCGGGUGAAACGUGCACAGGUGCUGCAUGGCUGUCGUCAGCUCGUGCUGUGAAGUGUCGGGUUAAGUCCCUUAACGAGCGAAACCCUUGUCGCUAGUUGCCAGCGGGUCAUGCCGGGAACUCUAGCGAGACUGCCGGCGUUAAGCCGGAGGAAGGUGGGGAUGACGUCAAGUCAUCAUGGCCUUUAUGCCCAGGGUGUCACACGUGCUACAAUGGGGCGUACAGAGCGACGCAAGACCGUGAGGUGGAGCAAAUCGCAGAAAGCGUCCCUCAGUUCGGAUCGGGGUCUGCAACUCGACCCCGUGAAGCUGGAAUCGCUAGUAAUCGCGUAUCAGCCAUGACGCGGUGAUAUGUUCCUGAGCACUUGUACACACCGCCCGUCAAGUCAUGGAAGCUGGGAGU
rnacentral:rRNA from 1 species